AGUCGAGUGUCGGGGCGCAGGUCCCCCUCGGUGAACGUCAGCAGGGGCUGCAGUACCGUCUCCUGCGCCAGGGGGCGGUGCGCAUCCGCGGCGGCGGCCGGGCGCUCGAGGGAGACCAGGAGGCGGCCCCGGACCACCAGGCCGUCCGGGAAGACGUCCGAGGUCUCGUUGAGGGGCUCGGCGACCCCGCGGACGUCAUCGUACAAAAGACGGCGGUGGAGCUGGACAGGGAGGACACCCGUGCUGGUCACUGAGAGAGAGAGAGAGAGAGAGUGAGACGUUUACGUCGCUUGGACGUCUCACAGGGACCCAACAUGUGUCGCCACUCACUCAAUGGGAAUGGGGCCCACAGUCCACUCCAGCUCCAGGACCCGGCUGUCGGCGUGGAGACGAACCACCUGCGUGGCCCAGGGAGAGAACCUCUGCCUCACUUCCUGCAUGACUGACGUCUGAGGGAGCGGCGUUGUGUGGUGUUUAUGACGAGGAGGAGGAGAACUUACACCUGAGGAAGGCCGCCCUCAUCCUCUGAUCGGCCGGCUGCAGAGACAACAAGGACAGCGGGAACGAUGCACACAACACUGAGGACACACAAGGAAGUGCUG